rnacentral:rRNA from 1 species
GUGGGGAAUAUUGGACAAUGGGCGAAAGCCUGAUCCAGCAAUGCCGCGUGAGUGAUGAAGGCCUUAGGGUUGUAAAGCUCUUUUACCCGGGAUGAUAAUGACAGUACCGGGAGAAUAAGCUCCGGCUAACUCCGUGCCAGCAGCCGCGGUAAUACGGAGGGAGCUAGCGUUGUUCGGAAUUACUGGGCGUAAAGCGCACGUAGGCGGCUUUGUAAGUUAGAGGUGAAAGCCUGGAGCUCAACUCCAGAAUUGCCUUUAAGACUGCAUCGCUUGAAUCCAGGAGAGGUGAGUGGAAUUCCGAGUGUAGAGGUGAAAUUCGUAGAUAUUCGGAAGAACACCAGUGGCGAAGGCGGCUCACUGGACUGGUAUUGACGCUGAGGUGCGAAAGCGUGGGGAGCAAACAGG